AUGGGGGCAGCUAUACAUGCAAGUCGAACGCUUUUUCUUUCACCGGAGCUUGCUCCACCGGAAGAAAAAGAGUGGCGAAGGGUGAGUAACACGUGGGUAACCUGCCCAUCAAAAGGGGAUAACACUUGGAAACAGGUGCUAAUACCGUAUAACACUAUUUUCCGCAUGGAAGAAAGUUGAAAGGCGCUUUUGCGUCACUGAUGGAUGGACCCGCGGUGCAUUAGCUAGUUGGUGAGGUAACGGCUCACCAAGGCAACGAUGCAUAGCCGACCUGAGAGGGUGAUCGGCCACACUGGGACUGAGACACGGCCCAGACUCCUACGGGAGGCAGCAGUAGGGAAUCUUCGGCAAUGGACGAAAGUCUGACCGAGCAACGCCGCGUGAGUGAAGAAGGUUUUCGGAUCGUAAAACUCUGUUGUUAGAGAAGAACAAGGAUGAGAGUAGAACGUUCAUCCCUUGACGGUAUCUAACCAGAAAGCCACGGCUAACUACGUGCCAGCAGCCGCGGUAAUACGUAGGUGGCAAGCGUUGUCCGGAUUUAUUGGGCGUAAAGCGAGCGCACGCGGUUUCUUAAGUCUGAUGUGAAAGCCCCCGGCUCAACCGGGGAGGGUCAUUGGAAACUGGGAGACUUGAGUGCAGAAGAGGAGAGUGGAAUUCCAUGUGUAGCGUG
rnacentral:rRNA from 1 species